rnacentral:rRNA from 1 species
AGUUGAUCAUGGCUCAGGACGAACGCUGGCGGCGUGCCUAACACAUGCAAGUCGAGCGAGGAGAUCCUUCGGGAUGAUCCUAGUGGCGAACGGGUGAGUAACACGUGGGUAACCUGCCCAUAAGAGGGGGGAUAACAUCCGGAAACGGGUGCUAAUACCGCAUAGUUUCUUGAUCGCAUGAUCGGGAAAGGAAAGACGGCCUUUGUGCUGUCGCUUAUGGAUGGACCCGCGGCGUAUUAGUUAGUUGGUGAGGUAACGGCUCACCAAGACGAUGAUACGUAGCCGACCUGAGAGGGUGAUCGGCCACAUUGGGACUGAGACACGGCCCAAACUCCUACGGGAGGCAGCAGUAGGGAAUCUUCCGCAAUGGACGAAAGUCUGACGGAGCAACGCCGCGUGAGUGAAGAAAAGGUUUUCGGAUCGUAAAACUCUGUUGUCAGAGAAGAACAAGUUGGAGAGUAACUGCUCCAGCCUUGACGGUAUCUGACCAGAAAGCCACGGCUAACUACGUGCCAGCAGCCGC